UGAGGAAUAUUGGACAAUGGGCGCAAGCCUGAUCCAGCAAUGCCGCGUGAGUGAAGAAGGCCUUAGGGUUGUAAAGCUCUUUCAGCAGGGAAGAUUAUGACGUUACCUGCAGAAGAAGCCCCGGCUAACUCCGUGCCAGCAGCCGCGGUAAUACGGAGGGGGCUAGCGUUAUUCGGAAUUACUGGGCGUAAAGGGCAUGUAGGCGGUUUAGUAAGUUGAAAGUGAAAGCCCUGGGCUUAACCCAGGAACUGCUUUCAAAACUACUAAACUUGAGAUUGAUAGGGGAUGGCGGAAUUCCUAGUGUAGAGGUGAAAUUCUUAGAUAUUAGGAGGAACACCGGAGGCGAAAGCGGCCAUCUAGGUUAAUACUGACGCUAAAGUGCGAA
rnacentral:rRNA from 1 species